rnacentral:rRNA from 1 species
AACGAACGCUGGCGGCAGGCCUAACACAUGCAAGUCGAGCGAAGCCUUCGGGCUUAGCGGCGGACGGGUGAGUAACGCGUGGGAACGUGCCCUUUGGUACGGAAUAGCCCCGGGAAACUGGGAGUAAUACCGUAUGUGGUCGAGAGACGAAAGAUUUAUCGCCAAAGGAUCGGCCCGCGUUGGAUUAGGUAGUUGGUGGGGUAAUGGCCUACCAAGCCGACGAUCCAUAGCUGGUUUGAGAGGAUGAUCAGCCACACUGGGACUGAGACACGGCCCAGACUCCUACGGGAGGCAGCAGUGGGGAAUCUUAGACAAUGGGGGAAACCCUGAUCUAGCCAUGCCGCGUGAGUGAUGAAGGCCUUAGGGUUGUAAAGCUCUUUCACCGGGGAAGAUAAUGACGGUACCCGGAGAAGAAGCCCCGGCUAACUUCGUGCCAGCCGCCGCAGUAAUAC